AUGCUCACUUCAGCAGCACAUACACUUAAAUUGGAAUGAUAUAAAGAAAAUUAGCAUGGUCCCUGAAAAGGAUGACAUGAGACAUUGGGAAGUAUCAUUAAUAUUC